rnacentral:rRNA from 1 species
UGUGUAGGCGGUUUGGUAAGUCUGGUGUGAAAUCUCCCGGCUCAACUGGGAGGGUGCGCCGGAAACUGCUGGACUCGAGUGCGGGAGAGGGAAGUGGAAUUCCUGGUGUAGCGGUGAAAUGCGUAGAUAUCAGGAGGAACACCGGUGGUGUAGACGGCUUUCUGGACCGUAACUGACGCUGAGACACGAAAGCGUGGGUAGCAAACAGGAUUAGAUACCCUGGUAGUCCACGCCCUAAACGAUGCAUAUUUGGUGUGGGCAGUUCAUUCUGUCCCGUGCCGGAGCUAACGCGUUAAAUAUGCCGCCUGGGGAGUACAGUCGCAAGGCUAGAA